rnacentral:rRNA from 1 species
GACGAACGCUGGCGGCGUGCUUAACACAUGCAAGUCGAACGGAAAGGCCCUUCGGGGUCCUCGAGUGGCGAACGGGUGAGUAACACGUGGGUGAUCUGCCCUGCACUUUGGGAUAAGCCUGGGAAACUGGGUCUAAUACCGAAUAGGACCACGCGCUUCAUGGUGUGUGGUGGAAAGCUUUUGCGGUGUGGGAUGGGCCCGCGGCCUAUCAGCUUGUUGGUGGGGUAAUGGCCUACCAAGGCGACGACGGGUAGCCGGCCUGAGAGGGUGACCGGCCACACUGGGACUGAGAUACGGCCCAGACUCCUACGGGAGGCAGCAGUGGGGAAUAUUGCACAAUGGGCGCAAGCCUGAUGCAGCGACGCCGCGUGAGGGAUGACGGCCUUCGGGUUGUAAACCUCUUUCAAUAGGGACGAAGCGAAAGUGACGGUACCUAUAGAAGAAGCACCGGCCAACUACGUG